UACAGAGGCCUCGAGCGUUAGGCGGAAUCACUGGGCUUAAAGCGUGUGUAGGCGGACUUCUAAGUACCUUGUGAAAUCCCACGGCUUACCCGUGGAACGGCUGGGUAUACUGGGAGUCUUGAGCCACCUAGGGGCGAGUGGAACAAAUGGUGGAGCGGUGAAAUGCGUAGAUAUCAUUUGGAACGCCAAUGGUGAAAACAACUCGCUGGGGGUGUGCUGACGCUGAGACACGAAAGCCAGGGGAGCGAACAGG
rnacentral:rRNA from 1 species